AUUGAACGCUGGCGGCAGGCCUAACACAUGCAAGUCGAGCGGAUGAAGGGAGCUUGCUCCUGGAUUCAGCGGCGGACGGGUGAGUAAUGCCUAGGAAUCUGCCUGGUAGUGGGGGAUAACGUCCGGAAACGGGCGCUAAUACCGCAUACGUCCUGAGGGAGAAAGUGGGGGAUCUUCGGACCUCACGCUAUCAGAUGAGCCUAGGUCGGAUUAGCUAGUUGGUGGGGUAAAGGCCUACCAAGGCGACGAUCCGUAACUGGUCUGAGAGGAUGAUCAGUCACACUGGAACUGGGACACGUUCCAGCCCCCUAGGGGGGGCAGCGGGGGGGAAUAUUGGACAAGGGGCGAAAGCCUGAUCCAGCCAUGCCGGGGGUGUGAAGAAGGCCUUCGGUUUGUAAAGCCCUUUAAGUUGGGGGGAAGGGCAGUAAGUUAAAACCUUGCUUUUUUGACUUUACCAACAGAAUAAGCCCCGGCUAACUUCGU
rnacentral:rRNA from 1 species